UCUUCACUCUGGCGGCGUGCCUAAUACAUGCAAGUCGAGCGAACGGACGAGAAGCUUGCUUCUCUGAUGUUAGCGGCGGACGGGUGAGGAACACGUGGAUAACCUACCUAUAAGACUGGGAUAACUUCGGGAAACCGGAGCUAAUACCGGAUAAUAUUUUGAACCGCAUGGUUCAAAAGUGAAGGACGGUCUUGCUGUCACUUAUAGAUGGAUCCGCGCUGCAUUAGCUAGUUGGUAAGGUAACGGCUUACCAAGGCAACGAUGCAUAGCCGACCUGAGAGGGUGAUCGGCCACACUGGAACUGAGACACGGUCCAGACUCCUACGGGAGGCAGCAGUAGGGAAUCUUCCGCAAUGGGCGAAAGCCUGACGGAGCAACGCCGCGUGAGUGAUGAAGGUCUUCGGAUCGUAAAACUCUGUUAUUAGGGAAGAACAUAUGUGUAAGUAACUGUGCACAUCUUGACGGUACCUAAUCAGAAAGCCACGGCUAACUACGUG
rnacentral:rRNA from 1 species